rnacentral:lncRNA from 1 species
UCUGCAGCCCGUCGCCUCCAUGCCACCGCGGCCGUCGCCCGUCGCGUCCAGGCCGCCGCGGCAGUCACCCCUCGCCUCCAGGCCGCCGUCGCCGCGAACCUAGUCGCCGUCGUCGCCCCAUCGCCCCUCGCCGCCAUGCCGCCGCAGCCCGCAACCCCGUGCCGCGCCGCUGUACGUCUUCUCCAGGAAGUCGAUGCUCGCAAGGCAUGCCCAGUCCACCAUGCUCGCCUUCAGGAAGCCGGUCGCAAGGCAAUCUGGCUGCCUUUUUCUAUGUUGUCUGUCUUGCAAUUCCAAGUAGGAAUUUUUGCUUCCAAUUUGUGGUGUUACGGCUGGAAUGUGCAUCAUUUCUAGCACUAAUUUGGCUAUUGGUUUCUGACUGUUGCAGAUUUGGUUGUUGGUUUUUGACUGUUGAAGGCAAGGAGAAAAGGAUUGAUCUGGAGAAAAAUUGGUGGAUAUGUUGUUUCAAAUUGUAACCAAUUAUGGUUGUAUGUAUUAUUAAAUGAGGAUGAAUACAAUUGUUUCAGUGAAAAAUUGUGACCAGUUUGCAACUACCAGAUGAC